GAAGCCAGCGUUGGAUGGACCCCAGGGCUCUCUCCUCGUCGUGCCCAGCACUACACAGGGAGCCUAGUGAGUGGCCACUGACCACCGUCCUGUCCCCAGCGAGCCAACAGUGAUGACGUGUGCCAUCUGCGUGGCAGGCCCUGGUCCAGCUGGGGCAUUUGCCACCGAGACAAGGAUCCCUGCCCUCUGGGGCUGAUGUCCUCAUGGGAGGAGAGGUCUGAUGUGACAGGUGACGGGAAGAAGAGCCAGCUGACCCCAGGCCUGAAAACUGCCACGCCCAGCGGAGCCCCAGGAGGAGCCUCCCGCGCUGGGCUUCUCGUCCAGCUGUCCCCGUGCCAUCUGCUGCCCACCAGGGAUCAGGAUGGCAGAGCCAGGGCCCAGGAGGAGCGCCACACCCGGCCGCCAGGAAAGUAACUGCUGCCCAGGAAGAACACUCCGAAGGGGCGAGCGAAGGCCCUGAGGCAUAAAGCCGGCCUCUAGGGAACUGUCCGGGCAGCGGGGGUUGGACAAGAGGGCACUCGGGAGGUGGGAGAUCAGAGAGAAGCCACAGGAAGAGGAACAAGAAAACGAGGGUCUGCUCAGAGCAGAGGAAUUGGAGAAGGAAAUGGGAGCCGCUAAGGGUUUUCACAGAGUGACUCACCCUGGUUCCUGCUUUGGAGCGACCAGCUGGGAAGCUGGAGGACAAGAGGGUGCGGAGGUGCCUGUAGCCCCUGCUGAUUCUUUAAGUGCCUCGUCCUCUACUCACUUUAGAAACAGGGCGAGGAGGGACAUCGGGACCGCGGGAGAACCUGGGCCGCCAGCCCCUGGCGUCACGGCAUCUAAGCACACGAGGCCCGAGGCCCGUCACCCGCGCUCUGCUCUGCCGCGAAGGGCAGAGGGGAGAGACCAGAGAGGCACGGGGACAGGCACAGGGACGGGUGGGAGAGCCCAGAGCUGAUUGGUGGAGGCAGGAAUCGCGUUGAUCUUCCUGUGGGUCCUUUAGCAGCAGCUGGGUGUUAAUGGAAAGAGCACCAGCUUCACAUCAGAGCAGAAUUAGAGCUACAGCUGUGUGUUGUUAGGCAAGGUACUUACCCUCUCUGUUCCUCAGCUUCCCAGUUUAUCAAAUGAGACUGUUACCAACUUUACCAACGUUUGUGGAUUAAGAUACAUAGCAAAUGUCCAAUGCACGGAGGCGAUCUCAGAUUUUCUGUAAUAAUAUAACUUAUUACUUUUUUUAUUACAUAAAAGUAGUGUAUGCUUGACCGCAAACGAAAGAAGAAGAAAGAAAAAGAAAAUCGAGAAAAGUCUAAAGAAUCAAAUGAGCGUCACUGGAAGCCUCUCGGGGGCCUGGCGCCCACUCAGGGCCCUGGCUUCCGUCUUCCCUCUGCGAAUGAAACAUGUGGAUGCUCUGAAACCAGAAAGCCAAGGUGCAUGUCAGGUCACCGGUGGAAGUCCGUCGUCACUCAGGGACACCUG